rnacentral:rRNA from 1 species
CNUUUGGGUAUAGACAGUUAGGCAAAAGACAAAGACCAUCGGACCCUUAAUGCAGGGGUAAAAUCUAGACAUUAAGAGUUAUAUUAGAUGCGGUUGUUUUAUGACGCUGAAUCUGUGACGACUUUAAGGGAAACUGGGAUUGGAUACCCCAUUAUUUUUAGUAGUAAAUUUAACUUAAGUCUACCAGAGUACUACGAAUAAAAAGUUUAAAACUCAAAGGGCUUGGCGGUGUUUUAGACCUCUCAGGGGAACCUGUCUCAUAAUCGACAAUCCACGUUAAACCCGACCCUCUGUGGCAAUUCAGCCUGUAUACCGUCGUCGUCAGGUAACUUCUAAAAACACAGUAGUUAGCUUGAGAAUCCUAUUAAUUAGGACGUCAGAUCAAGGUGCAGCUAAUAAGAGGGAGAGGAUGGGUUACAAUUAUAUAUUUAUAAUUACGGAAGAUGCUCUAAAUAGGGUACCAGAAGGAGGACUUGAAAGUAAUUUUGAUCAGAUAAACAAAAUGAAUAGGGCUCUGAAACGUG